rnacentral:rRNA from 1 species
GCAUCCUUGGUGAAUCAUAAUAACUUAACGAAUCGCAUGGCCUUGCGCCGGCGAUGGUUCAUUCAAAUUUCUGCCCUAUCAACUUUCGAUGGUAGGAUAGUGGCCUACCAUGGUGGCAACGGGUAACGGGGAAUUAGGGUUCGAUUCCGGAGAGGGAGCCUGAGAAACGGCUACCACAUCCAAGGAAGGCAGCAGGCGCGCAAAUUACCCAAUCCCGACACGGGGAGGUAGUGACAAUAAAUACUGAUACGGGGCUCUUUUGGGUCUCGUAAUUGGAAUGAGUACAAUCUAAAUCCCUUAACGAGGAACAAUUGGAGGGCAAGUCUGGUGCCAGCAGCCGCGGUAAUUCCAGCUCCAAUAGCGUAUAUUAAAGUUGUUGCAGUUAAAAAGCUCGUAGUUGAACCUUGGGUCUGGCUGGCCGGUCCGCCUCACCGCGAGUACUGGUCCGGCUGGACCUUUCCUUCUGGGGAAUCCCAUGGCCUUCACUGGCUGUGGGUGGAACCAGGACUUUUACUGUGAAAAAAUUAGAGUGUUCAAAGCAGGCCUUUGCUCGAAUACAUUAGCAUGGAAUAAUAGAAUAGGACGUGCGGUUCUAUUUUGUUGGUUUCUAGGACCGCCGUAAUGAUUAAUAGGGAUAGUCGGGGGCGUCAGUAUUCAGCUGUCAGAGGUGAAAUUCUUGGAUUUGCUGAAGACUAACUACUGCGAAAGCAUUUCGCCAAGGAUGUUUUCAUUAAUCAGGGAACGAAAGUUAGGG